GUGGGUGUGGCUCUGUUGGUAGAGUGCUUGCCUAGUUUGCACAAAGUCCUGGGUUCAAUUCCCAGCACCACACA
rnacentral:tRNA from 1 species